rnacentral:rRNA from 1 species
GCAUACGCUCGGGCAACCGAGCAAAGCUCCUUUUCGGAGGGGCGCCCCAAGAUGGGCCUGUGCCUGAUCAGCUAGUUGGUGGGGUAAGAGCCCACCAAGGCGACGAUCAGUAGCUGGUCUGAGAGGAUGAUCAGCCACACUGGGAUUGAGAACGGCCCAGACUCCUACGGGGGGCAGCAGUGAGGAAUUUUCGGCAAUGGGGGCAACCCUGACCGAGCAACGCCGCGUGCAGGAUGACCCUUUUCGGAGCGUAAACUGCUUUUCUGGGGGACGAGGAUGGACGGUACCCCAGGAAGAAGCCCCGGCUAACUACGUGCCAGCAGCCGCGGUAAUACGUAGGGGGCGAGCGUUGUCCGGAGUUACUGGGCGUAAAGGGCCCGCAGGCGGUCGUCUCAGUUCCCCCUGACAAUCCUCGGCUUAACCGAGGAGGGCGUGGGAAGACGGGACGACUUGAGGCAGAGAGAGGGACAGGGAAUUCCGGGUGGAGUGGUGAAAUGCGUAGAUAUCCGGAGGAACACCAAAGGCGAAGGCACUGUCCUGGUUCUGACCUGACGCUCGGGGGCGAAAGCCAGGGGAGCGAACGGGAUUAGAUACCCCGGUAGUCCUGGCUGUAAACGAUGACCACUAGAGGUUCGGGGUAUCGACCCCCUGAGUCUCGUAGUUAACACGAGAAGUGGUCCGCCUGGGGAGUACGGUCGCAAGAUUAAAACUCAAAGGAAUUGACGGAAUCGA